rnacentral:lncRNA from 1 species
UUUUUUUUUUUUUUUUUUUUUUUCUACCAGGUAUAGUUUGUGGGUAUUUGUGUGUCUAACUGUGGAGUGAAUAGGCAGACAACUGGGAACAGCAAAGGCUGGAGGAAAAUAGAACAGUCUCUGAUCUGGUCCAGCAAACUGCUGUCUGUUAGCUGAGGUGUUGUAUUGACCAAGAAACUCUUGGAAGAAAAUGUCUGAAUUCCACAUUAUCUGCAGAAACAAUAGUUUGUAAUGCAUGGAAGGUUGAGGUUCAGAGACACACUUUAGAUUAUAGGUCUCUUCAAAGUAAAUGCAAAAGGCCACCCAAAGGAAUCAGGCUUUCAUAAUGUGGUCUCUUUUCACUAAGUCAGGGGGGUGAAAAAAAAUCAUUUGCAAUUUGAUCUCUUUCAUUAGAAACACCAAAAAAGUCUGCUCUCAUGUGUCCAAUCCCUCUCUUACCUUCAGAGAGCAUAGGAUGAGAUGAUGUGUAAGAGUUGAUCCUCCCCCACCGCAAUUUACCCAGUUCUUCUUUUAGCUCAAAUGUUAGUGAAUGCUUUCAACUGUUUUCUAAGGGAACAAAUUACCUAUUUAUUGAAAUGAGUUAACUGUAGCUUGCUGACAAACAGUAUUUCAUUUUCAGGAGCAGCUGUCAGACUUUUAAAACAUUAAAAGCCCAUCAAAAACAUUUUAGAAAGUACAGCCAAAACCUUAUGAGUGACUUUCUAAAAUCUGUUCUGCUCAUAUGUAUUCAAGAUAAUUAACUGGGGUAGUAGAUUUUAUAUUCUGGGUAGAGGUUUUUGUUUCGUUUUGUUUUUUGUUUUUGGUUUUUUUGUUAAUGUGUUUUAGAAGUUUCCAUGGAUAUAUUCUCCUUAAGUUCAGCAAAGGGACAUCUCAUGAAGUGGUGAAGAUAAAAAUGACCAUAGUACAUUGAAAAUCUUCUCCCUGUCUGAAGGUGAUGAAACCUUGUUCCACGCAGGGGUGGUGGGAAGCACAGUUAUUUCUUCCCCUCCUUUGCUUAGCAUUCUCCUUCACCCUGUCUGCCAAACUUGUUCUCAUGUAGAGCCCUGCUGGGGCUCACCAGAUGGAAUGAUCAAAUGCCCGGUGGGAGUCAAAGGACUCCUAAAUGCUAAGCCAUUUGGAAUAGAAGAAAGCCUGGAAUUCCAGCUGGAUCCCCAUUUUCUGAAGUGUAUUUCAUGUAAUCUUAGAUUUAGCACAUAAGUCAUAUAUAUAUAUAUUUUUUUUCUUUUUAUAACUGUGCCUACAGCAUAUGGAAACUCCUGGGCUAGGUCAAAUUGGAGCUGCAGCUGCAGGCCUAUUCUACAGCCACAGAAACACCUGAUCCAAGUGUCUCAUGGAUGUUAUGUGGGGUCCUUAACCCACUAAGCCACAAUGGGAACUCCGCAUAAGUCACAGGUUAAAGGCUCUGAGAAGUCUUGCAGUAAAGAAGUCCAUUUAACUUUGCAGAAGGAAGCAAUUUCCACAUGUAUGUAAUCAUGGAGCCUUUCUUUACUUUUAUAUUUUGUAUGGAACAACACCCCAAACUAAUUUUCCUUGGAACACAUUUUUGGGAUACUGUAUAAAUGAGUGAAAAAUGAUGAAGAUGUUUAAAGGUCUUUCAACAAGAGUGGAGAAUGAAGAAAGAUUAGAUUUAGUCGUACUUACUUUCUGAAAAAAUAGAAAACAUGUCAGUUAGGGAUAGGAAAACUGUUUCAAAGUGUUUUAAAGCAAAAAAAGGAGAACUUAAUAUUUCAUAAUGGUGAGAAAUCCAGGAUAGAUGUGACUUCAGACACUGUUUAACUCAGGGAUCAAGUAAAGUUUUCCUCCACCUCCAGUGUUACCAUUAUGCUCAAAGUUCUUGUAUAGAAGAUGAUUCUCUCUAUUUGAGGGGGAACAAUAGCCACAGAAUCUCCAUCCUUUCCUGUUUUCAGGACAGAGCUCCCUCCUUUGGUGGAGCUAGUAAUGAAGAUCCUGUCAGGACAAAUGAAUCCAGAGCACAAGCAGUUCCCUGACGGAAAAUUGAAGAUUGUUGCUAUAAGAAGAGGAAAUGGAUGCUGGAGGAGGCACACAAUCAAAAUGUCAAAAUAAUAAUCUAGGGCCAUCUCUCUGGGCUGUUUUUUAUUCUAACAGAAACAUGCUGUAAAGGUAAGUGGCUUAUUUGAGUGACAGGAGAAGGGGUGAAUGGAAUCCCAUACUGCACUUGAAAGAUUGGAAAGAGAUCCUGGUUAGAAGCAAUCACUGGUGGAGUUGAAAGGGAAGCCAAAGAUCUUAGAAGAAAGGAUAUGUUUAACCAUUAAACUCCCCUAGAUUGGAAAUGUGACCCUAGCAGUUUGUACAAACAGGGGUCCCCUGAGCCAAGGCAAGAAGAAGCUGAAGAAGACAGAGAAGGAAAAAAAAAGCCCAUAAUUGGCCCUUAUCAUUCGUUUGGUUGCCCUGUUCAUCCCAGAUCCUUUUCUCUCUUCUGUAUCACCAAGAAUCAGUCCCCCCCGCCCAAAAAAAAAAANNNNAAAGAAAAAAAAAAAAAGGAAGUUCCCAUCGUGGCGCAGUGGUUAACGAAUCUGACUAGGAACCAUGAGGUUGCAGGUUCCGUCCCUGCCGUUGCUCAGUGGGUUAAGGAUCCGGCAUUGCCGUGAGCUGUGGCGUAGGUUGCAGACGCGGCUCGGAUCCCGCGUUGCUGUGGCUCUGGCGUAGGCCAGUGGCUGCAGCUCCGAUUGGACCCCUAGCCUGGGAACCUCCAUAUGCCGCGGGAGCGGCCCAAAGAAAUAGAAAAAAAAAAAAAAAAAAAAGAAUCAGUCCCUAAAAUGAUCACAUAGCCCCUGACAUCUAUGGCUUGGAUCUAGGACUCUUUUUCUGGUGCCUGGUGAGAGGUAGUAUGUAAAUUAUUAUUCAUUGUCAAUGGGGAAGAUAGUUUCUUUGCAUUCCAAGGUGGUAUUCUGAGUGAUUUCCCUUCUCUCUACUCACAUCAAUAAUUUAUAUGUAUUGAAGUUCAAUGUGUGUGUGUGUGUGUGUGUGUGUGUUUUGAUGCUUUUAUAAAUUGUUGCCCAAAGCACCUCAUAGACAGACUCCUCCUACCCUUCUGUCUUCCUUUCUCACCAGUCAGAACUUACCCUUUAUGCUCCAUCAGUGCAACCCCUCCACAUUUCUCCAGGCACUCUGAUGCUGUGUACCACUGUCUUGGGUUGGGUUCCUUGGAAAUAGCCUGAGAUGGGGAUUUUGGUGCCAGGGUUUUACCAAGGAAGUGCUUUUAGAAGAAGCCUGGAAUGGAGUGAGGAAAGCAGAGUAGGACAGGGAGAGAAGCCAGGGUAAUUUGUGGGUUCAGCUAAACUUAUUGGGAGCUCUGGAACAUGCAUUAUACAACAAAUUUCCUACCUUGAGGUAAGGGGACUGGUCUUUUCUAUCUCCAUAUCAGUCUAUCAUUGGCUAAGGGUCAUUUUUGGAAGGGUAGUAACUCCGAGGGUUUCCUAGGUGAUCUACUUCCCUUAGGUUGAGAACAAUUCUCAGAAUAAAGCAACUUGGAGCUCUUAACAACCUAUUCUCAGAGCAACUGGGAGAUGUAUUACAACUACUCCAAAUGUUUGCUUCACUCCACCGGCCCCACUACCUGAAAACCUGUCUUAAUACAAUGGUUUUCAAGCCUUACCAUGUAUCAGAAAAACCUUGACGGCUUCUUAAAACUCAGAUGGUUGAUUCCCACUCUCAGAGAUUAUGAUUCAGUCACUCUGGGGUGGAGACCAAUAAUUAAUAAUUCUAACAAGUUUUCAGAUCAUGUUUGAGAAAAAGUGGCUUAAAUUCCUUUGUAACUCAACUGAGCUGUCAUCGCCUUCAGGAAGACUUCCUUUUCAUUUGUACCCUCAUCACCCUUCCCCAUCUUGGAUCAGUACCCUUUUUGCUUCCUUAACAUUCCAAGCACUUACCACACUGCAUUGGAAUUAUAUACUUGGGAGAGUCUUAGUUCUGGUGGUAGGUGCAGGGAUAUGAAGAGUCCAGGAGUAGAGUGAAGAAUGAUACAUGUGUAGACUUCCAAGGAAAAGCUAUGAAUGGAUUUCCCAUAAAAAUAAAGUCUGUCUUGUUACUUUACAAAACCUUGAGGACAGCACUCUCUUAUUCAUCUGAAUACACCUGGCUCUUGGAAGGUCACCUGAUGGCUUGUAAGAGUCCCAGUACAGCUUUGUUGAAUUAGACAUCAAUCUUGUUUGAGACUGGCUUCAUGGGAAAAAAUACUUAACUUACAUAAGUUAAACAAUUACACAGAUUAAAAUAUGUUUAACUCACCUGUGGGACAAUAUGUCAACUUAGAAAAAACUGCAAAAAUAAUUUAUUUUUUAGUUGAGUCUUGCCUUCUCUAGUAUGCUAUGUCCAUCCCUAAAUGUAUGUAGAGAGGCAUUAACCUGACUUUUCAUGAACACACAAGUGAAUCACUUCCCAAAAUGAACACCAUUUCUCCACCAACGCUUACUUAAUUCAUGAACUUGUAAUAUGUUUUUGGAAAAAUCAUCUCAUAAAACGAUGAUGACCUGAGGUUUAAGACUUUCUGGCACAGAGCUAGAAAAAAGUAAGCUUUGUGGCAACACUGUAAAGAACAAGAUAUAAACUGCAUUUAGUGUCAGUAGCUGUUAAAUGGAAGCAUUCACUGUAGCAGACAGUCUUCCUUUAGAAAAUACAAGCCAAUGACAGAAGAUAACAAAUAGAUUCCAUCCUCAGUGAAAGUAUGGCAGUUCUCUCCAGAAAAAAAAAAAUCAUAAUUGGGGAAAAUUAGCCAAAGGUGACUUUGGAAGAGUGGCUAGAGAGUACAUAAUGUAAUGGCUGUUCAGGUAUAUAUUCAUCAAAGCUGUUGACAUAGUUCUCUUAUUAGCUAAUAUUUAAAAUGUUGUUUUAAGGAAAUGGUGCAUUUGUAAAGUACCAGAGGCAAGAGGGUCUGGAGUGGUUACUAUUAAACCUCUUUGCUAAUUGGACACACCAGCUACUGCUAUAACAUUAAUCUGAAGCCUUACCUGACAGGCUAAACAGCCUGAGCUAACCGAAAAUUUAGAACUAAUGUGUUUACUUCAAGAAACACAAAGUCUGAUUCAAUUAGCAUCCAAAGUCAUGGAGGGUACAGAAUUUAAUGUUGGAGGUUUUUCUUUCUUUCUUUCUUUUUCUAAUUUAUACUCAAGUGUUUACAGAACCAAAAUUAAUGAUGAAGAGAUGUAAUUUUUUUUUUGUCUUAGAGGCUGAAAACAUAAAAAAUUGGAUUAAAAUUAUGAAGCUACUGUGACAUGAUAUAUUAAGAGCUCUGAAUGAUGCCUAGGAAUGGAAGAGAGGAGAAAAACACUUGAGUAAGUAAACAGAGUUUAUGAGACUUGUUUAUGCCAGGAAAGCUGGAUGAAUAUUUCUGACUAAAAGUUAAUUAACUAUUUUGCCUCAGCGAGCCAAUUUGUCGCCUUAAACUUUGAUUCAUUAACUGCAAACUGAGAGGGUUGCUUGUUCCUUGGUGUACUCGUACACUGAGUUUGUGUUAAAUGGUGCUGUGAGAUAUUGUCUGUUCUUUCCAAUUGAAACUAACCGAAAAGGCUAUUAUACUGAAAGUAAGACUUUUUAAGUGACAAUAAGUAGAUGGGUACUCUUUCAGAGCAAUGCCUAAAAACUAUAUGGCUUAAUUGCAAAGCUAAUCAACCCUUAUUAAAUAAAAUAAGGGUAUAUCCAAGAUUUUUGAGUCUGCACAUUAAAUGGAGCAUGCAAGUUGCCCAGUUGGCGGUUUUAAUUAAGCUUUAAGACUUGUGAACUUACGAGUGAUGCUUCUUCAGGUUUUGCCACUUGGGGACUGUAAUUAUUAUUUUUUUUUUUUUUUAAAAAAACUGUUGUGAUGAGAAAAUGAGUCUCCAUUAGUCAAGAUCUUGGCUUUGUUUCUAAUUGUGACAUGUUUUGUGAAAGCCUAUUUGCUGGGUAUGAAAUAUCUUUGAGUUCAUGAAUGGGCAGAUGAAAAGAGAAGCACUUAGGAAAAAAAAAUCUCAGCCAUACUCCUAGAAUAAUGAUUUU